GUUAAUUUACUGGUUGAGGUAUUUUUAGUUUAUUCAGAAAGGUGUUGAUUUUCUUUUGGAAGUUGGAAACAAUUUUUGUUAAAGCUGGAAGAUUUGUAUGGUGUUACCAUUAUUUUACCUUGUGACUGAACUUUCUCGCAAGUUUUAUUGCAUUCAGAUGGUUAAAUGGUAUUUCGAAACUGCAUCUGCUACUUGCAGGUUGCAGCAUGUUGGUUAUUUCAUAGUUUGGUUCUUUUGAAUCAUGAGUUUAAAUGAACUCUCCAUUUCACAGGUUCAAUAGACUACUCUACAAAAUCUUUAGAUCCCACUUUUCUCUUGUUGGCUUAACCUUAAAUUGAGAUAUUCUUAAGAUGGCAAUAUCAAAUGGUAGUAAGAGAGAUUAAUUACAUUUGAUUUGAUUAGAUGAGGUUAGAUGAUAACAAAGGGCAGUAGUUUCAAACAAUGGCAAAAAGUAAGCAACCGAAAGAGUUCAAGUACGGUCAUAAAUUUGUUAUCCAAAUAAUGGUUUUACAACGAAAGACGUUGGUUACAAAAUUAUUCAUUUAGUUUAAUAAGAAUGAAAAAAAAAAAAAAUGAACCCUCCAUAAAAUAUUAAGGUUACUAUUAGCAAGAUUAAUUUUUAUAGGGAUAACUUUGGGACUAAAUUUAAAAGAAUAAGAAAAAAGAUUGUCAAUGUUGAAAUAAUAAUAAAAAAAAAUUUAAGAAUUAAAUAAAUCAGGUGUAAUUUUGAUUUUCGAACUUUGAUAAUUAAAAAAAAUUUUUUUAUCCUCAUGAAAUGCACAAUACUAGAAACACACAUACAAUAUUCCUGAUAUAAGAAUUACUAUCAUCUUAUAAACACACAAUAUUAAAUUAAAAAAAUAAAACAUAAAAAAUUAAAUAUAAUGUAUACAAUAAAACCAACUGAAGUAUGUUUUUUUUUUUUAAAUAAUCGCAAUUGAAAUGUUAAUAAAACUAUUAAAACUACAAUUUUUGUUUCAAAUGCUUAUUAGUAUUAAUAUAUGAAUUUGCUGUAAACUUAGUUAAAGUUAAAAUCGAAUCGAAUUGUUAAUUUGAUUAUAAUAUUAUUUUUUUUAUAAAUAUUGAAUUAAAAUAAUUUGGAACAAAAAAGAUAUUUUAGAAAAUAUAAAGAAUUAGUCCAAAAGAUUCUUUACAUCCCCGCUUUUAUGUAUUUUAUAAAUUAUAGUAAAUUGUAUACAAUAUAGAUUAUAGAUAAGUUAAAAUGUAUGGUGAUUGAUGAAGUAAACACCUUUAGGGAGAAAAUAGCAAAAAAAAAAAAAGUCUAAGAAUUUUAUGAGUUGAAAUUGGUCUCGACUCUUUAGUGAGUGGAAGCUUCUAAAUUUAGGUCCGUCCAAAAGUAAAUGGGCUGUAAAAUGGGUAUUUUUGGUUGGAUCAUGGCUGGAAUCUCUGUUGUUUUAUUUUAUUUUGUUUUUUAACCCAAAACCUAACAGUCAAAAACCCAAAUCCAACCCUAAAAACCCUAGAUUCAGGAAAUCAAUAUAUUUGUUAGAUCGUGAUAAUUACAGAAACCCUAAAUUGUUCUUUACCUUCCGCAGCCCUUUCACAGGACAGAGGUAAGCUUCCGCUGCCCUUUCUGGCAAACCCAAUCCCUUUUAAUUUCUUUGUUGAAAAAUUGUGAGAAUGGAACAUCAAUUAUUUGUAAAAAUUUGUAUGUUUGUUCAUUGGUUAUUUUCUGUUUUUCUUAAAUUUUAUCAACCAUUUAUUCAUUCAUGCAUUGAUUUCAUUUUAUCAGUUCUUGAAAUGACAUGGUACUUGCUUAAUUUCAUUUUUUAAAAAUAAUUGCUUAUUAGAAAAAAAAGGAUCUUUCUUCUUACUUUUUUUAGGCUAGCCCUUUUCGUUGUCUAGUGUUUUGUGUCUAUGUUUUUUCUUUUUGGAAUGUUAUAUACGUAAAACUUGUUUCCUGAUUGGUUUUAGCUUGAUAUAAUUUUGACUAGAGAUAGGUGAGUAGGUUAAGGUUGUGAUUCCUGAGUCACUUUUGAAAAAGAAUAAGAGGAAUGAAAAAUGUGAGGUUGCCAAAAAGCAAGAGGAAUGAAAAAUGUAAGGUUGCCAAAAAGCAAGAGCUUGAAGUUGCAAAAAAGAAGAGAGUUGAGAAUCGAAACUGAUUUACAUUAGGGCUAAGCACUAUGCAAAAGAGUAGGAGACUCAGGUAAAUAUGCUGUUCUGUUUGGGUUUAUGUAAAUUUGUAUUUAUCAAAUCAUAAAAGUGUCUGAAUUGUAUUGUGUGGUUUGUAACUGUUAGGAAAAAGAGUUGAUUCAAUUGAAGCGGGAGGGGAGGCGAAGUUGAAUGGAGGAUUCUAUGUCGAUCUAGAAGCUAAGCUUUUGUUUAUCAUUCGAAUCCAUGGGAAGUAUUGGCAUUAGGAUGUUAAGAUGUAGAGAAGGUAAGUUUGUUUUGGCAUAAAUUAAGAUAAAUAUGUUAAAUAUUAGUGUGGGUGAUAAUUUUCAAUAUUAUAUCAAUCAUUUUAUAAUAUACUACUAUUUAAGUAGAUUUAUAUCUGCAUUAUCCAGCUCAUUUUUCAAAAUACUUAAAUCUUUUCCUUUUUGCUACAAGAAGACAUAAAACUUUUAGAUGGAAAGUAACUAAUUUUUUAAUUUCUUGCAAUAUCUUACAAGCUAAAAAAAGGUUUUAGAUCAAUAAACUUUUUAAUUUCAAGUCACUUAUAAGUUUAUUUUCUUAAAAAAAAGUUUCAAUUAAAAUGAAAAUUUUUUUUUUUGGGUUUUUCAUGUUAAAAGAGAAAAAAAACUAUUAAUUAAAUAUGAAAAUUACAAAUUUAUUAUGAUUAUCGAAAUAAAUUUAUAAUGUAGAAUCAUGUGGUAUUGUCUUGCUAAUUAAAUUCAUGUUUCCUUCAUUUUGUCAUUGAACUUGUUAGUAUUUCAAAAAAUAUGCAUGUUCUUUAGUUAGUUGGUUUGAAUAAAAAUUAAUGUUUCAUUGUACGGAGAAGUAGUUGGGUCUCAUCAUGGAAUAGAACAAUUUGAUGAAAAUAAACGUAAUUUCAUUUUUUUUAUAAAAAAAUUUAUCAAAUGGUUAUUACAUGUAUUCGUCCAAGAAAAAAAAAAGAAGUUAAAAAGUGAUUCAAUUCGAAACAUAAAAAAAAAUAAAAAAUAAAAAGAUGCUAUAACAUAUUAUAUUUUUAACUAAAUAUUUAAAUCAAAAUAUAACAUUUGGACUAAUUCUCAUUUAAAUAUAUAACAUUUAAUUUGAAUCAAAUCAAGACCAAUCACUUUUUAAUUUGUUUAAAAUAAAAUAAAAAAAUUUUAACAACAAUGAUAUAUAUGCCUUAUGAAGUUCAAUAAUAUUGACAGAUGACAUCUAAUUUUGUCAAGAUGUUUGCAUAUUUGUAAUUUAUCAUAAUUUAUUUUUUUAUAAAAUUAUGCUUCUUUUUACAACAUAUUGGGUUGGAUGAAAUUGGGAUUCCAUCCCCUUCAAAAUUUUUAUACAUUUUUCUAUUCCAUUGUUUGAUUUAUUUUGUACUAAAGAGUAAUAAUUUCAUCGAAUUCUUAUCUCAUCAAGAAUUGAAAAUGUUAUUUAUAGAAUAAUUUAUUUUUAUAUAUUUAAUUAAUUUAAAUUUUGCCCUCUAAUAUUUAAUUAAUUAUAUUUAUUAUGAUUAAUUAAUAUUAUAUUAAUUUAAUUAAUUAAAUAAUAUUAAUUAUAAUAAUGCAAUUGAUAAUUAAUUUAUUAAUAUUAAUUUAAUACAAUUAAAUAAUAUUAAAAACAAAAGUAUUAUUAAAUUUAUAUUUAAUAUUAUCAAAUAUUAAAAUAUUAUUAAAUUAAUAUUUAGUAUUAAAUUAUUAUUAAAAUAAUUUACUAUACUAAAUAAUAAUAAAUUAAAUAGUUAAUAUUUAAAAUAAUAUUUAAAUAUUUGAAUAUAAUAUAAUGUAAUAUAAUAAAUUGUUAUUAAAUUAUUAUUUUAUUUUAAAAUGUUAUUAAAUUAAUCAUUAGUAUUAUUAAAUAUUGUAACAUUGUUAAAUAUUAAAAUAUUAUUCAAUAUUCAAAUACUAUUAAUUAGUAUUUAAUAUUAAAAUAUUAUCAUAUAUUUCAAUAGUGUAACUCAAAAUUGAAAGUUAAUGCGGUAGCUUCUUGGUGAUUGUACACUUAAUGUAAAAUGUGCAUGUUUUGGCAUUAUGCUGCUUUGGCAUGGUUUCACUGGGUGUUUCUUUAUAACACUGGACUGAGAUUGUGCUUGUUUAUUGUAUUGGAAACUAUUUAAUAUUUCUUCCAAUAAAUAAACAGAAUCUGAAUCUAAAUUGUUGAUUGGUCAAAAAAUCCAAAUUGUUGUGUUCUUAUCGAAUGCAGAUUUUCAAUGGUAUUUUUCUUAAAGUGAACAAGGCAACAAUGAACAUGUUUCACCGGGUCGAACCUUAUGUGACUUGCGGGUAUUUUUUAUAUUUCCUGCUUCCUCACUUUCCCUUUUGAUAGUUUUAUAUACUUGCCAUGUCUUAUUUCUUAGUAAUGUUUGUGUCUAGAUACCCCCCAAAUCUCAAGAGUGUGCGGGAAUUGAUUUACAAAAGAGGUUACGGGAAGUUGAACAAGCAGAGAGUUGCUUUGACUGACAAUGCAAUUGUUGAGCACGUCUGUAUCCUUUUGCAUUUACUUAGUUUCAUGUUGGUGCUGAACAAAUACUGAGCACAAUUGUUUUUUUUUUUUUUUAACUGGUCACAGGCUUUGGGCAAGUUUGGCAUCAUCUGUGUGGAAGAUCUUAUCCAUGAGAUAAUGACGGUGGGAUCUCAUUUUAAGGAGGCUAACAACUUCCUCUGGCCCUUUAAGCUAAAGGCACCAUUGGGAGGUCUGAAGAAGAAGAGAAACCAUUAUGUUGAAGGAGGAGAUGCAGGCAACCGUGAGAAUUACAUCAACGAGCUAAUUAGGAGGAUGAAUUAAACUUGGUCGUAUUAGUUAAUUUACUGGUUGAGGUAUUUUUAGUUUAUUCAGAAAGGGGUUGAAUUUCUUUUGGAAGUUGAAACAAUUUUUGUUAAAGCUGGAAGAUUUGCAUGGUGUUAGCAUUAUUCUACCUUGUGACUGAACUUUCUCACAAGUUUUGUUGAAAUUUUAUUGCAUUCAGAUGUUGAAAUGGUAUUUCGAAACAGCAUCUGCUACUUGCAGGUUGCAGCAUGUUGGCUAUUUCAUAGUUUGGUUCUUUUGAAUCAUGAGUUUAAAUGAACUCUCCAUUUCACAGGUUCAAUAGACUACUCCUCUACAAAAUCUUUAGAUCCCACUUUUCUCUUGUUGGCUUAACCUUAAAUUAAGAUAUUCUUAAGAUGGCAAUAUCAAAUGGUAGUAAGAGAGAUCAAUUACAUUUGAUUUGAUUAGAUGAGUUUAGAUGAUAACAAAGGGCAGUAUAAGAAUAAAUUAUUCUAUAAAUAACAUUUUCAAUUCUUAAUGAGAUAAAAUUUUGAUAAAAUUGUUAUUCUUUAUUAUAAAAUAAAUCAAACAAUGAAAUAAAAAAAAGUAUAAAAAUUUUGACGGAAACGGAAUCCCAAUUCCAUCUAACCAAAUAUGUUGUAAAAAAAACAUUAAUUUUAUAAAAAAAUAAAUUAUGAUAAAUUACAAAUAUGCAAAUAUCUUGACAAAGUUAAAUGUCAUGUGUAAAUAUUAUUGAACUUCAUGAGUCACAUUAAUCAUUGUUGUUAAAAAAAUUUUAUUUUAUUUUAAACAUACCAAUAAGUGAUUACUCUUGAUUUAAUUCAAAUUAAAUGUUAUAUAUUUAAAUGAGAAUUAGUCCAAAUGUUAUAUUUUGAUUUAAAUGUUUAGCUAAAAAUAUAAUAUGUUGUAACAUCUUUUUAUUUUUUAUUUUUUUUAUUUAUGUUUAAAAUUGAACUACUUUUUAACUUCUUUUUUUUUCUCGGACGAAUGCAUGUAAUAACUAUUUGAUAAAUUUUUUUGUAAAAAAAAUGAAAUUACGUUUAUUUUUAUCAAAUUGUUCUAUUCCAUGUUGAGACCCAAUUACUUCUCCGUAUAAUGAAACAUUAAUUCUUGUUCAAACCAACUAACUAAAAAACAUGCACAUUUUCUGAAAUACUAGCAAGUUCAGUAACAAAAUAAAGGAAACAUGAAUUUAAUUAACAAAACAAUACCACAUGAUUCCACAUUAUAAAUUCAUUUCGAUAAUCAUAAUAAAUUUAUAAUUUUCAUAUUUAAUUAACAGCUUUUUUUCUCUUUUAACAUGAAAAACCCAAAAUUUUUUUUUCAUUUUAAUUGAAACUUUUUUUUUAGAAAAUAAACUUAUAAGUGACUUAAAAUUAAAUAGUUUAUUGAUCUAAAACCUUUUUUUUAGCUUGUAAGAUAUUGGAAGAAAUUAAAAAAUUAGUUACUUUCCAUUUAAAAGUUUUAUGUCUUACUGUAGCAGAAAGGAAAAAAUUUAAGGAUUUUGAAAAAUGAGCUGGAUAAUGCAGAUAUAAAUCUACUGAAAUAGUAGUAUACUAUAAAAUGAUUGAUAUAAUAUUGGAAAUUAUCACCCACACUAAUAUUUAACAUAUUUACCUUAAUUUAUGCCAAAACAAACUUACCUUCUCUACAUCUUAACAUCCCGAUGCCAAAUACUUCCCACAGAUUCGAAUGAUAAACAAAAGCUUAGCUUCUGGAUCGACAUAGAAUCCUCCCUUCAACUUCGCCUCCCCUCCCGCUUCAAAUCAACUCUUCUUCCUAACGGUUAGAGACCACACAAUACAAUUCAGACACUUUUAUGAUUUGAUAAAUACAAAUUUACAUAAACCCAAACAGAACAGCAUAUUUACCUUAGCCUCGUACUCCUUUGCAUAUUGCUUAGCUCUAGUAUAAAUCAGCUUGCGAUUCUCAACUCUCUUCUUUUUUGCAGCUUUAAGCUCCCAUUCUUCAUUUUUAUCAAGGAUUUAAGAAAAAGAGGAUUCCAAUUUCACAUCUUAAAUAAAUUAAAUAAAAUGAAUGGACUAGAAUCAGCAGUAUCCUAUCAAACUCGAUAGUAUGGUAGGAAAAAAUAUGAAUCUUUCUACCAUACUAUCUAUAUCUAUUAUUGUAAUGUGUAAAGAUACAAGCUUAAUAUAGAUGAAUCUACAAUAUGUAUCUUCAUACAUGUCGAUAUCAAUUAAAUAUAUGUAAUGAAAUAUAUGUAAUAUACAUAGUAUCUCAAUUUUAUUUCUUCGCUUGAUUUAUUUUAUUUGUGUUGAUUUCAAUCAAUCUGAAAUAAUUGAAUGGCAAGUCUUACGAUUUUUUAAUUCUUUCAUUUCAUGGAACUUAUUUUGAAUUUAACUUCUUUUCUUUGAUCCAUGAUAUGAAAUGAGUCAAUAAAGCAUGGCAUAAAUAAAAUUCCUAAAAUAAUAAAUAAAACAGGGGGUAAGUGUGCAAUAUGUGACUACACUAAGGCAAGAUCUUAUUAAAUAAAAGAACUACUUUUUUUCUCUUUGAACAGUAACAGUAAAGAGGGAAGGAAAUAAAAACAAACAAAUACAGAAAAAAGGGGGGGUUCCUUGUCCCUCAUUGUCCAUAUAUAACUCUGGUAAGAGCUGAUUUCUCUUAUUCUUUUUCAAAAGUGACUCAGCAAUCACACCCUUAACCUCCUCACCUAUCUCUAGUCAAAAUUAUAUCAAGCCAAAACCAAUCAGGAAACAAGUUCUACAUAUAUAACAUUCCAAGAAAUCCAGACAGAACAGUAGAUUUACCUGAGCCUCGUACUCCUUUGCAUAUUGCUUAGCCCUAGUGUAAAUAAGCUUGCGGUUCUCCACUUUUUUCUUCUUGGCAGCUUCAAGCUCCUGUUUUUUGGCAAGCUCCCAUUCUUCAUUCCUCUUCCUCCUCUUCAAGAGUGACUCUGGAAUCACAGCCUUAACUUCCUCACCCAUCUCUAGUCAAAAUUAAUCAAACUAAACCAUUCAGUAAACAAGUUCUACAUAUCUCAGAGUCCUAUAAGGGAAAUUAAAACAAAAAACACUGAAACAAUGAAAUGAGUUGUCUUAAUAAAGCUUAUUACUGACUAAAUCCUGCACAAUCUAGGUAAGAAGAAAGACCCAUUUUUCAAAUAAGCAAUUACAUAAGAAACAGGAAAUUAUGCAGGCAUCCAUGCCAUUUAAAGGACUGAUAAAACAAAACCAAUGCCUAUAGGAAUAAAUAGUUAAUAAAAAUUUAAGCAAAACACAAAAAUAAACAAUGAAAAUACGGAUUUCUCAUCAAAGAAAAUAAAGGAGGGUUUUGUUUAACAGAAAGUAGAGCGGAAGGCUCACCUCAGGGGACUGUGGAGAGUCGGAUCCGGCGACCGAAGAGGAUUUUUAGAGUUUUUGCUAGUGAUAAAUAGGAGGCAGAAGGAAACCAAUAAAAUUUUAGAUAUAUAGGGUUUUGCUAGGUUUCUCAUUCAACGGCGGGGAUUCAAUUUUUUCCUCAAAAGCAUUCGCUGCCGUUGAUGUAACCAACCAAAAGUUCAAGUACGGUCAGAAAGUUGUUAUCCAAAUAGUGGUUUUACAACAAAAGACACUGGUAACAAAAAAUCGAAAUUGUUGUGUUCUUAUCGAAUGCAGAUUUUUAAUGGUGUUUUCUUUAAAGUGAACAAGGUAACGAUGAACAUGCUUCACCGAGUUGAACCUUAUGUGGCUUAUGGGUAUUUUUUACAUUUCCUGCUUCCUCACUUUCCCUUUUGAUAGUUUUAUAUACUUGCCAUGUCUUAUUUCUUAGUAAUGUUUGUGUCUAAAUACCCAAAUCUCAAGAGUGUGCGGGAAUUGAUUUACAAAAGAGGUCAUGGGAAGUUGAACAAGCAGAGAGUUGCUUUGACUGACAAUGCAAUUGUUGAGCAGGUCUGUAUCCUUUUGCAUUUACUUAGUUUCAUGUUGGUGCUGAACAAAUACUGAGCACAAUUGUUUUUUUUGUUUUUUUACUGGUCACAGGCUUUGGGCAAGUUUGGCAUCAUCUGUGUGGAAGAUCUUUUCCAUGAGAUAAUGACUGUGGGAUCUCAUUUUAAGGAGGCUAACAAGUUCCUCUGGCCCUUUAAGCUAAAGGCACCAUUGGGAGGUCUGAAGAAGAAGAGAAACCAUUAUGUUGAAGGAGGAGAUGCAGGCAACCGUGAGAAUUACAUCAACGAGCUAAUUAGGAGGAUGAAUUAAACUUGGUCUUAUUAGUUAAUUUACUGGUUGAUGUAUUUUUAGUUUAUUCGGAAAGGUGUUGAAUUUCUUUUGGAAGUUGGAAACAAUUUUUGUUAAAGCUGGAAGAUUUGCAUGGUGUUAGCAUUAUUCUACCUUGUGACUGAACUUUCUCAUAAGUUUUGUUACCUUAAGAAAUUUUAUUGCAUUCAGAUGGUGAGAUGGUAUUUCGAAACUGCAUCUGCUACUUGCAGGUUGCAGCAUGUUGGUCUUUUCAUAGUUUGGUUCU
rnacentral:lncRNA from 1 species